UACGUAGGUGGCAAGCGUUGUUCGGAAUUAUUGGGCGUAAAGGGCGCGUAGGCGGCUUGUUAAGUCGGCUGUGAAAGCCCGGGGCUCAACCCCGGAGGGUCAGCCGAUACUGGCAGGCUAGAGUACGGAAGAGGUAGCUGGAAUUCCCGGUGUAGCGGUGAAAUGCGUAGAUAUCGUAAGGAAGACCAGUGGCAAAGGCGGGUCUCUGGACAGGUCCUGACGCUGAGGCACGAAGGUCAGGGGAGCAAACGGG
rnacentral:rRNA from 1 species